GAAAUAACAUAUGUUGCGUUGCUCUAAUUAGAGAAUUUAAAGCAAGAGGUAUGUAAACGGGUCAAUGCUAUGACCCGAGCCAGGUGAAUGUCGAGAGCCCCGGAUGAAGAUCAAGCGUCGAGCAAGAAUCGAACACGCGUUAAAUGAAGCUUCCGCGAGUUGUUUCGUCGUCAUUCUAAAACGAUGAAUUAAAUUACACUAUGUAGUUUUGCUUUCAAAAUUUAGUAAAGUUUUAAUAAACCCGUAUUUGAGCAUGAA